UGGCAACACAUGGUAACCAGCACCAUAAAAUAUUGGAUCAUCAUUUCUCUGCCCAUACCAAGCAGGAGGUGCCGUAUUACUUCCCAUUCCAUAGUAUGGCUGAGAAGGCAAAGAGAUCGCCUCAUGAUCAUGCACCAUAGUUACAGAACACUUGGAACAACAGCAGACAUCCACUCUCAAAAUACAAGCCUGCAAAAGAGAGAGAGAGAGAGAGGAAAAAACCUGUAAAGCUCAAGUCGAAUACUGAACGUUGGGAGAGUGAAGAUGUAGAAAAAUUACCGAAAGAGGCGCAAGGUUUUCUGCCAUCGAAACUUCUAAAGAAGAGAGCAGUCUUUUCUUCUCCUCAUCUCUUCUAUUCUUCAAGAAGAUGAAAAGAUGAAUGAUGCCUUUAGGUGAUAUUAUAAAGAUAAUAUAAGAUUCUGUUCUUCUCCCAUUAAUACUCAUAACAGAAUUAUCAUAGUUAUUUUCUGGACUA